UACGUAUUGUAAAGUGGCGCACGGGUGAGUAACACGUGGGUAAUCUGCCCUUGAGUUUGGGAUAACCCCGCGAAAGCGGGGCUAAUACCGAAUAAGACCACGGGGACCAAAGUCUCUGAGGUAAAAGAUGGCCUCUAUUUAUAAGCUAUCACUUGAGGAUGAGCCCGCGGCCCAUUAGCUAGUUGGUGGGGUAAUGGCCCACCAAGGCUAUGAUGGGUAGCUGGUCUGGGAGGACGAUCAGCCACACUGGAACUGAGACACGGUCCAGACUCCUACGGGAGGCAGCAGUGGGGAAUAUUGCGCAAUGGGCGAAAGCCUGACGCAGCAACGCCUCGUGGGGGAUGAAGGUUCUCGGAUUGUAAACCCCUUUCGACCGGAACGAAUCUCCUCUUGGUAAAUAAUCAGGAGGAUCGACGGUACCGGGAGAAGAAGCCACGGUUAAUUCUGUGCCAGCAGCCGCGGUAAGACAGAGGUGGGUAGCGUUGUUCGGAUUUAUUGGGCGUAAAGCGAACGCAGGUGGUUUGGUAAGUCAGGGGUGAAAGUCCGCAGCUUAACUGCGGCACUGCCUUUGAUACUGCCUUUCUUGAGUGCAUGAGGGGGAAGCGGAAUUCCGAGUGUAGAGGUGAAAUUAGUAGAUAUUCGGAGGAACACCGGUGGCGAAGUGCGGACUUCCUGGCAUGUAAAUGACAUUCAUGUUGGAAAGCGUGGGGAGCAAACAGGAUUAGAUACCCUGGUAGUCCACGCCCUAAACGAUGGGCAUUAGGUGUGGGAGGUAUCGACCCCUUCCGUGCCGCAGAUAAUGCAUUAAGUGC
rnacentral:rRNA from 1 species